ACUGGUUGGCAGUUCCGGUUCCCUUCACUUCCAAGUAGGUCUUGCUCUGGAUUUCGUCGAAGGUCAGCCUCUUUGGAGAUCCCUCUGCACCUGCUCCCUGAAAACACAAAUGGUGGCCAACAAUGACCAAAUUUCAAUCGCAAUUCAUCCCCAAAAAUGAAAUCCAACUAUCACUGGCAUAUGUUGUUGUCAGACUGUCAAUCCAAAAUGAACUAAUGAGAUUUAUAUCCAUACUAUAUGAAAUCAAAUGAUGCUACAUUAUAUUGUUAGAUUCUCAAUCCCAAUUAUCAGAUGAGCGUACGUCCAUAUGAUAUGCUAUUAUGAUUGUUAUCCUAACAACAUAACAUAUCAAAUAUCCGAAAUAGAGAACAUUACUCUCGUCUGUUGGGACGAUCCAGUUCUACAAAUUAAUGGAGAACAUGUGGAUAUUGCUAUAUAAUUGCACAUACAACUAGUCCAACUAAUGUUUACCCCCUAACUAUAGUCCAUAAGUAACUAGCAAGUACUACUUAACAUACAUUCACAAAAGGUCAAAUGCAAACAACUAAUCAUUGUUCAUCUUCUGCACCGAAAUUUCAAUCACAUGAAGCAAAAAACUGAGGAAUGAAAUGGAAUUAGCAUAACAUACCGAGACAACGAGGGCGGAAGUAGCAAGAGCAAAUCCAGCAAUCUUAGAAGCAUCAAGGCACUUGUGAGCCAAGUCCUUGAGAUCAGAUUGCAAAGAGCAAGUGAGCCUAGCAGAGGCAGAUGGCUCCAAGCCAAAGGCCUUGGAGACACUCUGAGAGGACCUCAGCUGCACACUGGUCCUCGCCGACACGCCGACCUUGGUCGGCUGCAUGAGCGUGGCAGCUGCUUGGAGGGAGGCUGCCAU
rnacentral:lncRNA from 1 species